UGGCCUCGACGAUAGGACCUGAGAGGAUGGAUUAGCUAGGGGAAAAGGAGGAAGGGGAUGGACGAGAGAAGGAGGAGGAAGGAGAGAGCUAGAUCCGGGCAAUGUGCCACAGGGAGCACGCCGUCUAGCGUUCCUCUAAGCCGGUUCGGUGGAUCUAAGCACGUCCGCGUUGUGGACGUAAGCGCACGAGCUCGUCGACGAAGGCUAGCUCCGCGGGGUGCGAGCUCUUAGGAGAGGUUGAUUUUACCGCGGUCGGAGACUAGGAUCGCAUGCGUAGAUAGCUGAUUGCCGCCGUACGUGCUGCCGCGUGACGAGUCGAGAUAACGGAAGUAGGCGUACGCCCCUAGUCCGCGGGACGUCCACAAGCCAUUUAAAGGGGUGACCCUUCUAACACGGCGACCGCAGCCUAAGUCCCCUGUGGGUUCUCGAUAGUGUGGAAAGAGAAGUAGUACACACCUACAGACGUGGUCCGCCGUGGAAAGAGAAGUAGUACACACCUACAGACGUAGUCCGCCGUGGAAAGAGAAGUAGAUACACACCUACAGACGUAGCUCGUCCGUGCUCUGAAGACCGAUCUAAAGGACCGGUGCGGGUAGAAACCAUUACGGAUUAGCGGAGACCAUUACUAAAUAAUCCACAGGAUUGGAGAUAUUAGUGAACGUAAUUCGGGAUAAUAAACACAGAUUGUGCGGGCACCGACGGCAUAAUAGUGUAUGGCCGGUGUGAACGUGGUUACGAAAAGACGUCACACUGUAGUCCCCGGUGCUAGCGGUAAGACGGCGUACAUAUUUAGGACACGCCCGCGCACUAAAGAAAGGGUUCCGACUCGUCUGUGCGCGCUGGUUCGAUAUCCCACUAGCUAGAUGUGCUGGACUGCUACCCUCACCACUACCGCCGCGAGACCCUGUAGGACCGCUUCCGGCGGUUACACCGCGUCUACAGGCCGGACGUGCGGCGGUACGACCAGCGGCACCCGUACUCGGAGAACGCGUAGGGCGUCUCGUGCGCCCUCACGCGGUUCGAGCUCGCCACGUCGGCGUCCGAGGUGCGCGACGACGUCACCGGCUGCCCGACGCCCCGGCGCCACGACACGAGCCUCUACCCUCCGGGGCAAGAUUUCAGCGACCAGCUGCGCCGGCCUGAGCAGCGGAGGAUGUUCUUCUCGUGCGAGACCGUGGCGCAGGCCUCCCCGUUCCCGUACCGGCGGGUCGAGGCCCUGUACGUCCUGCAGCAGCUGAGGAUGACGCCCGAGGACGAGAUGCAGUUGCGCGUAGAGGACGAUGUCGGCCGCUGAGUAGCAGGGGGCAGUCUACGAUGAUGCAUGCCCCAAUUCCUCCGCUUACUCUUACUGGGUAGUGUCUCAGCUUCACACGAUGUUCGUCAUUGGUUAUCGGGCCCUCAAUUUCUUUGAGCACCGUGAGUUUACGGGUUACUACUACCGCUCCCCCCUUGUCCGUCGGCCUGUCUGCUGUGGCCAGAUCGUCCUGCACUUUCUUCGCACUGACGAAUUAAUCACUAAAGGGUACUCAGGUACUGGUGUCCUCAUCUGACUAGGGUUGUCCGAUUUCACUUAAGAGUCACGAACGAAAAGGUAAACGAUGCUGUCACUUAUUACGUGGCAGACAUUUAUACACAUACAUUCGAACCUUCUAAACAAAAAAAAUCUCGAAAGAACCGCUCGAAAUAAAUAAUCGCUAUUGUGAAUGUAUCAGAUGAUCGAACUUUCUUGAUUUAAGCCGCUCAGAUGAACGAUUUUCAAACCG
rnacentral:rRNA from 1 species